UUUACCAAAUUACAUGUCUCUCUCGCUGUAUCAAAGUGUGCCAGUGCGGAAAAAACAAUCGAUUGUUUUCGAGAGGCAUCUAUGGUUUGAAAAAACUUAACUUAAUCGAAAGUAUCGAUAGUGCCAUCGAAGGUUUUCCAGCUCUAUGUUGUACAGUUGUGAACAAAGUGUGAAAAGCGGUAUAUGUGCUAUAAAUUUAUUCACGUGUUAGAAUCGGUCUUUAUUUGGUGGGGAGCAACUGCCAAAGCUUGUUUUCACACGAUCGCAAAACUCGUGAUUGGUCGACCUUGCCGCAGUCCAAACGGGACUUAUCAUUGCCGUUGCUGACGCCAAAGAUUGAACAGCAACCAGUGAUUUGGAUCAGUGGAGAAUCCAAUAGGAAACUCGCAGUAUUUCGAAUAUCGAGGCACAGAUUGCGCCCUACGUAGUCGACUCGUGAGGAUUUAAAGAUUCUCAGCAAGAAGAAUAAGAAAACUAUUUUUAAAAACGUCUAAGGAGCCUACAACUAGCACAAAGCUCAGCCAAGUAGUUUUCUCCCUUGAGGAAUAAGAAUAUAUUAUGGAAAACAGUGAACUGGAAAAAGCGAGUGCAGUGAACGACCAAUUGGCCGAGUUAAGGCAACAGGUUCAGGCUCUUGAAAACAGAGUGAAGAAGUAUGCGAGGCAGCUGGCGGAUAUUUCGGACCAGGUUGAACAGAUUGCGGCCUUGUUACGUUCGCAUCGGAGAGGACCUUCUAGCUUUAGAGCUCAAAAUAAGCUUAGGCCCUAGAGAACGCUACUGCGCCUACAACAUAGACGGCCGUAACGGGAAAAAGUCCUUAAAAUCAUUUCCCAAUAUCUUUUCCGUUAUGAUUGUAUGUAUUAUUAUUAUUAUUAUUUUAUAAUAAUACCGAUAUUGUUAACCGCAAGAAGGCUUUUUUUAUUUCCUUGAAU